rnacentral:rRNA from 1 species
CGAACGGCAGCGCGAGAGAGCUUGCUCUCUUGGCGGCGAGUGGCGGACGGGUGAGUAAUAUAUCGGAACGUGCCCAGUAGCGGGGGAUAACUACUCGAAAGAGUGGCUAAUACCGCAUACGCCCUACGGGGGAAAGGGGGGGAUCGCAAGACCUCCCACUAUUGGAGCGGCCGAUAUCGGAUUAGCUAGUUGGUGGGGUAAAGGCUCACCAAGGCAACGAUCCGUAGCUGGUUUGAGAGGACGACCAGCCACACUGGGACUGAGACACGGCCCAGACUCCUACGGGAGGCAGCAGUGGGGAAUUUUGGACAAUGGGGGAAACCCUGAUCCAGCCAUCCCGCGUGUAUGAUGAAGGCCUUCGGGUUGUAAAGUACUUUUGGCAGAGAAGAAAAGGUAUCCCCUAAUACGGGAUACUGCUGACGGUAUCUGCAGAAUAAGCACCGGCUAACUACGUGCCAGCAGCCGCGGUAAUACGUAGGGUGCAAGCGUUAAUCGGAAUUACUGGGCGUAAAGCGUGUGUAGGCGGUUCGGAAAGAAAGAUGUGAAAUCCCAGGGCUCAACCUUGGAACUGCAUUUUUAACUGCCGAGCUAGAGUAUGUCAGACGGGGGGUAGAAUUCCACGUGUAGCAGUGAAAUGCGUAGAUAUGUGGAGGAAUACCGAUGGCGAAGGCAGCCCCCUGGGAUAAUACUGACGCUCAGACACGUAAGCGUGGGGAGCAACAGGAUUAGAUACCCUGGUAGUCCACGC